UCAAAUUCUCCAAAGCUGUUUGCCAAGCUUUCCAUUAAAUUUCAUAUUUGAAAUCACCAAUGAAAUCUGACAACGACUGUCUCAUAAAUUUUGUUUCUAAACGCUUGAAUCAUGACAAAAAACGAUAUUUUUCAGACUGGAUCAAAUUAAUGCGCAUGCGCAGUCCUAAAUGCGCAUCUCUUGCGUCUCAUUUCGGAGGCGCGCGUCUGACUGUUUCUAUAGGAACCGGAGGUUGUAACGGCUGCUGUAGUGACACGAUGACUUUACCAAUCAGCGAUUGGCUCUUAUUUAGAAGGCAGUACUUAUUCCGCCAUAUUGUGUGUUGCACUUUCUCCCAUUCAAAACAAUACGAGUGACGCGUCUUGUGUUAUGUUAUUGUUUACAGAGCCACGUCAUCGUUUUGCUCCAUUUACACCGGAGUAGUGUAAACGACAGGCGUAACCGUAGCAAAAGUUAUGCACUUUAAAACGAAAACGCACUAGUGUAAACGGGGCAUAAAGAGGUUCUUUUAGCAAACACUACAAUGAAUCAAUCGAAGUUGUUACUGUUUUUUGUCAUAGUUAUUGUCCGGUUCAUAUAGGCCUAGUUAAUCAUACAUUAUGAGUUCUGUUGUAAUCCGUGUUUUUAUUUUGUUUGUUCACAUUUUAUAUUUGAGAACCAAUUAAAGGUUAGUAUUUGUGUGGCCUCUUAAAACUUUGUGUAAACGCAGCUUUUGCAAGAAUUUAUUUCUGAUUUAUGUCCGUUCUGAUGAAAUCUGAAAUGAUCUCAUCAUCUGGCAACAGACCACUGAGUGCUCUGCAGGAGAAGUUGGAAACGAGUUGUCACACCCUGCAAAGACUCACGACAGAAGUAUGGCUGAAGAACUGCAAGAAAAAGAAAAGCUAUCCUCUUUUUCAUGAAAGAGUACCAUCCGCCCCCUCAUGUACAAUGCCUGGAAUAGUAACAGCACUGCCAGGCUUACUAAAUAUAGCAACCACCUUGUUAUGUAAUAGGCCUAUGUAUGUGAACGGAGACAAGGGGCUGGAUGAAACGUGAAGGAUCAUGCGAUGUGGGCAAAGCAGCAGCAGCAGCAGCAGCUGAGAGAUGCAAACAAGCCAGGACCCUUCAGGGUUUUGCAUGCACAAGUUUGUGAUUUUCACUCUUGGAGCCACAGACUCGAGACUGCUGUCCCUGUCAAAUUUAAGGCAAGGGCAGGAAAACCUUGAGGGAUCCAUCAUGUCAAGUAAACAGAAAGUGAAAUGAACGGCUCGAGUAGCCGAAGGUUCCCAAACGGUGUUGCUCGUGACCUCACCGUCUUCAUGACCAGACAUCUGUGCAAAAAGCGAGCUGUGAAGCUGAACUGACUGCGUUCCUCAUGGAAGGAGAGACAGGAAUGGAAGUUGACGGAGGAAAAAGAGGGAGUUGACCAAUAAACCAGAACCUGCAAGACUGAGGCGACUGAAGUAUAACAACAUUAGAUAACCUCAGAUGCUGCAUGGCAAAGGCCUCAGCCGUGAGAAAACCGUGAUGAGGUCCUACGGUUAAUCAUCUGAUCCAGAACAUUCACAUGUGACAGAGAGAAAUAAAAAGGAUAAGAAAAUUUGGGAAAACUUUACUUUGUAUCCUCCCCACAAGAUCAACGUCUGUUAGACUGCUUUACACCUGUCAAUGGAUAUUCAGCAAGUUAAUUACUUUGUAGGAACACAAUAACACCGUCAGGUAUUUGCCAUAUUUGUCUGUAAACUAUCUGGGUUUUUAAUAAAUGAGCUGGACGUUGCUUACGUUGUCAGACGUUUGAGAAACGUGAUAUGUGAGAUGCGAGGGAAUAUGAAAAUGAUAAUGUAUAAAGUGUUUGAGUUAAUACAAAAAGUAUGCUUGCAUAUAAAUUCAUAUAUACAUAUAUAUGUAUAUAUAGAUAUACAUUUGUUGUAACUCUAAACUCUUCAGCUGUGUGACGCACGAGAGCGCUUGUGUUGUUUUUUAAAUUCGCAAAGACAUAGUCGGAUUUAAUCUCAUUUGUUCUAAUUAAAUAAUAGUCUAUAUGUAUCUUGAAAUGCAUUUGUUGUGACUGUGAUAAUAAGAACGUGAGCGCAGGAAACUUCCGCGUCAGGAGUGUGGAAAUUACAGCCGCAGCAGCACACGGUUGUUGUUGUUUUAAGCUUGUGGUGCUUUAUAAUAUCGAGGGGUGUAUAUUUCUGGGAUCCUAUAGUUUGUUAAAAUUGUUGUAUGAAGCUUCAGACGGUUGAACGGAGAGUUUGUUGAUCUGUCAGGCGGUCGCUGUCCACUGCACGUGGUGCUGAAACGCGCUGCUGCUGCUGCUGACGUACCACUCACACGUAUCACUCGUCCCAAGUGUGCUUAUAACUAAAGAUAACGCUGUUUUUAUACCGCUGAGUUUAUUAUAUCGUAUAUAUAAUGUUUCAUAACUCGUGUUUAGGCACCAUUUUGAGCACAAUUAGCCUAAUGUGAAAUAUGGCCUGUUUGGAUUGUCAAAGGGUCAGAGGGCCUGGGUAGUGUUGAAAAAGAGAAGCAAAUAUAUAUAUAUAUAUAUAUAUAUAUAUAUAUAAUAGGCGUCGAGUUAAGCUUAAGAUGUCUGUGGUGGAUCUGUGAGUGUCUAGGAGGGAAAGCAGGAAUAUAUAAUGUGUUACGUGAGAGACUGAGAGGAUACAUGUGAGUGUGUGUCGAAAAUUGUAUGUUUUAAGGUUUCUAUAAGCAGAUUGUAAUGAAGUAAAAUAUCUAUAUCAAAGUAUUCAUGCAUCAGUUAUCAAAUGUACAUUAUUAUAAAGACAAAUAAUACGUGAUUAGAUUAUUUGUGCUUUACGUGUCUUAUAUUUUUUUUAUUGCUUUAAAAUUGUACUAUUUUUCUGCUUUGCUGUUUUUGUAUAUCAUGCAACCCUACAUGUGCUUAACGGUUUGAGUUGAAUUGUGUAAAAUGAGUUGCAUGUGGUUGCUGCAGUGUGGACGACGUAGUGUAUUUCUGAGAAAAAUGUGCUGAAUUAACUAGCCUAUUUGACUAAUUGUUUAGCUCUUUUAUUACAUGAAAUAAGCUGUACGUGUGGUGUAAGUAAUAUGGUGUGAUUAAAAUGUGUGUAUAUUGCAAAAUCAAAAAGCUGGAAGUUUGUUGUUCACGUGACAGUUGUGAUGAAUCACGCAUUUUGUAAUCAAACUGUAUUUUCUGUCCUGUGUCAGUGAAAAUAAAAUGUUUGGCGUUA